rnacentral:rRNA from 1 species
CGAGCGAACGGACGAGAAGCUUGCUUCUCUGAUGUUAGCGGCGGACGGGUGAGUAACACGUGGAUAACCUACCUAUAAGACUGGGAUAACUUCGGGAAACCGGAGCUAAUACCGGAUAAUAUUUUGAACCGCAUGGUUCAAAAGUGAAAGACGGUCUUGCUGUCACUUAUAGAUGGAUCCGCGCUGCAUUAGCUAGUUGGUAAGGUAACGGCUUACCAAGGCAACGAUGCAUAGCCGACCUGAGAGGGUGAUCGGCCACACUGGAACUGAGACACGGUCCAGACUCCUACGGGAGGCAGCAGUAGGGAAUCUUCCGCAAUGGGCGAAAGCCUGACGGAGCAACGCCGCGUGAGUGAUGAAGGUCUUCGGAUCGUAAAACUCUGUUAUUAGGGAAGGACAUAUGUGUAAGUAACUGUGCACAUCUUGACGGUACCUAAUCAGAAAGCCACGGCUAACUACGUGCCAGCAGCCGCGGUAAUACGUAGGUGGCAAGCGUUAUCCGGAAUUAUUGGGCGUAAAGCGCGCGUAGGCGGUUUUUUAAGUCUGAUGUGAAAGCCCACGGCUCAACCGUGGAGGGUCAUUGGAAACUGGAAAACUUGAGUGCAGAAGAGGAAAGUGGAAUUCCAUGUGUAGCGGUGAAAUGCGCAGAGAUAUGGAGGAACACCAGUGGCGAAGGCGACUUUCUGGUCUGUAACUGACGCUGAUGUGCGAAAGCGUGGGGAUCAAACAGGAUUAGA